AGGGAAUAUUGCACAAUGGACGAAAGUCUGAUGCAGCAACGCCGCGUGAGUGAAGAAGGCCCUUGGGUCGUAAAGCUCUUUAGCCUGGAAAGAAGUGCCUUUGGGUAAACAAUCCUGAGGUGUGACGGUACCAGGAGAAUAAGGUCCGGCUAAUUUCGUGCCAGCAGCCGCGGUAAUACGAAAGGACCAAGCGUUACUCGGAAUCACUGGGCGUAAAGCGCGCGUAGGCGGCCUUGUAUGUCGAUUGUGAAAGCCCCGGGCUCAACCUGGGAACUGCAGUCGAAACUGCAAGGCUUGAAUGUUGGAGAGGUUGGGGGAAUACCUAGUGGAGAAGUGAAAUUCGUAGAGAUUAGGUGGAACACCAGAGGCGAAGGCGCCUGACUGGCCAAACAUUGACGCUGAGGCGCGAAAGCGUGGGUAGCAAA
rnacentral:rRNA from 1 species